rnacentral:lncRNA from 1 species
AUGUAUUCGGCUGAAGAGGCGGUGGUGGAAGGGAGACAGAAAUCUGCAUUGUCAAAUCCCAUUGUGAUGUGUUCAGUGAAGAACAUUCAAAGCCAAGGGAAGCAAGGCCCAAGACGAGAAAGCCUUUGCAUCAUGGUAGGAAGGGACAGAGCCUCCUGCCUCCUUAGAGCAAUGCCACUGCCUGCCUCCCCUCAAGAGACAACACAAUUACAGCUGACACAAUAAUUGAUGAUGAAGUUUGCUGGUGAGAAAGAUGGACACACAUUAUAAUCCCAUCAAUCUUGUUCCACACGGUGUCUUGUGCUGCUGUUUUUUCAUACUGUGGCAGCAAAUUGACUGAAGGAUGCUGAGCAGUCUGUUCCCAGGGGUACCCCAUGACGGAGUGAGGGCACCGCUCAGGGCACGAGGAGAAAGGUGAGACUGGAGUAAAGAUCACCCAGUGUGAAUUGAAGCCAAAUUUAUUUCCACCAUGUUCUUUACCUGCUUGUGUCUCCACUACACAGAAUCAAUUCCCAGGGGAACAGGACAUCAUCCAACAUUGGCUUCUCCAUGGGCAUUGCAGGAGCAAUGUUUGACCAUUAACACCCACUGCCCCUCGUUCAUCCCCAGUUCUGCCUGAGUUCAGUCACAGGUGCCUGCCAGGUCUGUAAGUACAUAGAAACUCCAGUGGAAAUGUGUUAUGUAUAUAUUAGAAAACUUUCCAGUCAUCUACACUCAGUUUAGGUUUCCAAAGAGGAGGCUCAGGGUCCUUACCACUGUCUCCAGCUCCCUGGCAGGGUGGUGGUCAGGUGAAGGUCAGGUGAAGGUCAGGUGAAGGUCAGGCUCUUCUCCCAGGCUGCAACUGACAGGACAAGAGAACUGUCUCAAGCAGUGCCAGGGGAGGUUCAGGUUGAACAUCAGGGAGAAUUUCUUCUCUGCAGGGAGAAUUUCUUCUCUGCAAGGGUGGCUGGGCCUUGGAGCACACUGCCCAGGAACUGGUGGGGUCACCUGCUCUGGAGGUGUUCAAGAAAUGACUGGAGGUAGAUCUUUGUGCUGUGGUUUAUUUGGAAUUGUGGUGUUUGGUCAAAGGCUGGACUCGAUGUCUUGGAGGUAUUUUCCAACCUUAAUGAUUCUAUGAUUCUUAAAAUCUUCUCUCUUCACAGAUACGUGAAAGACACCUGGUUCCUACCUGUCCACUGCUUUUCUGAGCACCUGAGCAGAAAACUAUUUCCUUCAGUUGAUGACAACAAUACAAUUAGUCAACAAAUAUAAUUGCAUCUUUUGUUAAAAAAAAAAAUAUAAUAAAUUAAGCCACUAAAAUUUAGUGUUUGGC